UACGUAGGGUGCAAGCGUUAAUCGGAAUUACUGGGCGUAAAGCGUGCGCAGGCGGUUGUGCAAGACCGAUGUGAAAUCCCCGGGCUUAACCUGGGAAUGGCAUUGGUGACUGCACGGCUAGAGUGUGUCAGAGGGGGGUAGAAUUCCACGUGUAGCAGUGAAAUGCGUAGAGAUGUGGAGGAACACCGGUGGCGAAGGCGGCAUUCUGGACUGUAACUGACACUGAGGAACGAAAGCCAGGGGAGCAAACGGG
rnacentral:rRNA from 1 species